GGUAACGCUGUAUUCCAAAUAAAUUAAUCAGCCAAAGAGUAUUCUCAAAAGUAGUGCGGUGUUAACUCCGCCCACGAAGGGAGAUAACUUAGUCUGUUGUAAAAAAUGGCGGUGUUAAAAUUUCCCUAUUUUAUUGACGCCGACAAUUACAUCAGAGAGGAAGAAAUCAAAACGUGCGAACGUUUUGUUUUUUUGGCAAGACGUGGGUCACCGAAGUCUACAGAUAAUGGAUGCAUUUUUACAUCUGCUGUGUUUGCCUUUGGAUGGCAGUGUUCUCCAUGUAGCAAGUACAGUAUGGACUGCCAUAUUUUUGGGACAAGACCCUGAUAAACACAGGUUUUUAAGCGAGGUGCAGAUACUGGAGUAUGAUCAUCUGGUUGGUGCAGUCAAUGAGGGUGGAUUCCACUGGUCUCUUAUAGUUGUGCAACCGAAAGACAACAAAGUUUUGUACAUAAAUCCGAUGGGGGAGCAGAAUGUUUCCCAGCAACAGAUCCUGCAACAAUGGAUGUAAAUGUGUACAUUAUUUAAUUAAACAGUAAAUUUGUGCACAUUCGGCGCUUAUCCAGCAUUGAUAUGGGCGGACCAAUACAUUGGAACAUACUCUGCCCACGUCAUGCAAAACAGUCAGAUUCAAUAUCUUGCGGUGUCUACGUUUUAAAGUAAGCAGAAUGCUACCUGCAAAAUCAAUCCCUAGAGUUUGUGCUCAGCAAAACACAACUACUAGAAGAACGGAGACAAAUAGCCAGAAGACUGCUUUCUGAAGGGGAAUUCAUUGAAGGUCAUCUAGAAGAGAUAGCAAGUAGCCCAUCAGUCGAACAUGAGAACUCGGACCAGCUCGCAAACACCCCUGCCUCUGCCAUGGAGUUGGAAGGGCGAGACACUGACCCAGUAGUCGAUCAUGUGGCAACAACUAGGAACUCGGACCAGCUCGCAAACACCCCUGCCUCUGCCAUGGAGUUGGAAGGGCGAGACACUGACCCAGUAGUCGAUCAUGUGGCAACAACUAGGAACUCGGACCAGCUGGCAAACAACCCUGCCUCUGCCAUGGAGUUGGAAGGGGGGAGACACUGACCCAGUGGUCGAUCAUGUAGCAACAGCCAGGGUGAGUCAAAGCGGACACAGUUGAUGAGGAAAUAUGCAUCCAGCAUUGGAAGCACAAUUUUUCUUUAAAAAAAUACAAUUUAUUUAAUUUAAUUUACAUAAUGCCCUGUCUGUUGGUUUGUUUGUUUGUGCAAACCUUAACAUUUGCAAUAACUUUUGCAAUAUUAAAGGUAGCAACUUCAUAUAUAGCAUGCAUGUGCAUCUCAAGGAGCUACACACUUUGAGUUGUGUAAGGUCAAGGUAUUUUUUUUUUGGUAAAAUUGAUGAAUUAAUAUGAUAUCUCUUUGCAAAUUGUUUUAAAAUUAAUACAUAACUUGUUUCAGAAACAUUGUUUAAUAACAUUCAAUUGUCAUUUAUUCGAAUUUGAAAGUUGUCAAAAGUAAUUAUUUCUCCCUAUACGGUAGCUUUAGGUAUAUGUGAUAUUUCAUGAGAAAACUAGUCUUCAUUGCAUUACAAAUUAAUGAAGCAUUCUUUACAUUUGCUUUUAUAACAAAAAAACCUAGUUUAGACUUGUAAAAUUGAUAAAAAUAAUUAUUUGAACAUAAAGUUUGACCAGAGUGUACAAUUUAAACACACAAGUUUAUAACGACGUGUAUCUUGUGCUUUGCAUUUGUUUAAAAGUUGCCUUAUAAUUGUGCGAAGCAUGUCUUCUCAAAUUAAAAAUGCAUCUUAUUCAAAGGUGAUCAGAACUAAAUGUGUUUUUUUUAAUAAUUCAGGGAUAACAAAAAUCAGACUAAGAAACCAUAUGCAAUAAUUCAUAGUCUGUUGUCUUCACAGAGAGAAACUUCAAUAAAAAAUAUGCUGUCAUUUUAUAAUACCUUCGUGUUUGCCUCACGGUUGCCUAUUGAUUUGUUUUAAAAUAGGAAGUUUAUAAUGAGGUAUAUAACACAAAGAAAUUUCAUAUUUGAAUCAUUUUUAUGCUCCUCUAAAAAAUUCUUGUCUGAGCUUUUUCUCAGUAACUUAUUACGGGAAUUCAAUGAAACUUUAUGGGAAGCUUCACUACCAAGAGGAGAUGUGCAUGUUAUUAGCCAGUUAUGGUCGGAUGAUUUUUCACAGAGUUAUGGCCCAUUGAAAUUUUCCAUUUACUGUACAUAUUGUGCAUUCUUGUUCGGGCUAUUUCUCAGCAACUAAUGUCUGCAAUUGAAUGAAACUUUAUGGGAAGCUUCACUACCAACAGGACAUGUGCAUAUUAUCAGCAAGUUAUGGUCGGAUGAUUUUUCACAGAGUUAUGGCCCUUUGAAAUUUUCAAUAUACUGUACAUAUAGUGCAAUUCUUGUCUGGGCUAUUUAUCCCCAACUAAUGACUUGAAUUCAAUGAAGUUUUAUGGGAAGCUUAACUGCCUUGAAGAGAUGCGCGUGUUAUUUGUGGGUUCUGGUUAGAUGAUUUAUUUAGAGACUUAUGGCCCUUUGAAAUUGUUAAGUUGCUAAACCAUCCAUCCUAUUAUUUUGUCCAAAGUUAUGCCACUCAAGAUGUUUCCUUUUAUCUGAAUAUAUAGUGCAAUAUUGUGACCAAAAAAACUUUGGGGAGCUUCACCCAUCUCUGACGGCUUGUUUUAAUUAAAUAUUAAUUGUAAAUCCCAUAUCACCUUUUAUCAUACUUUUUUGUAAUUGACAACUUGGUUUUCUGACAAUUGUUUUCCUUGUUUUGUUUCAAAUAGGCAUGAUAUGGUUACUAUUAAAUCAACUUCAUAUGUUCUUCCCUUGUGAUAAGUAUUUUUAGCUCAUCUAUUUUUUGAAAAAAAAUUAUGAGCUAUUGUCAUCACCUUUGCGUCGGCGUUGGCGUCCGGUUAAGUUUUGCGUUUAGGUCCACUUUUCUCAGAAAGUAUCAAUGCUAUUGCAUUCAAACUUGGUACACUUACUUACCACCAUGAGAGGACUGGGCAGGCAAAGUUAGAUAACUCUGGCGUGCAAUUUGACAGAAUUAUGUGCCCUUUUUAUACUUAGAAAAUUGAAAAUUUUGGUUAAGUUUUGCGUUUAGGUCCACUUUUCUCAGAAAGUAUCAAUGCUAUUGCAUUCAAACUUGGAACACUUACUUACUAUCAUGAGGGGACUGGGCAGGCAAAGUUAGAUAACUCUGGCGUGCAUUUUGACAGAAUUAUGUGCCCUUUUUAUACUUAGAAAAUUGAAAAUUUUGGUUAAGUUUUGUGUUUAGGUCCAUUUUAUUCCGUAAGUAUCAAAGCUAUUGCUUUCAUACUUGCAACACUUACUAACUAUCAUAAGGGGACUGUGCAGGCAAAGUUAUGUAACUCUAACUGGCAUUUGGGCAGAAUUAUGGGCCCUUUAUACUUAGAAAAUUGAAAAUUUGGUUAAGUUUUGUGUUUUGGUCCACUUAACCCCUAAAGUAUCAUAGAUAUUGCUUUCAUACUUGGAACACUUGCAAACUAUCAUAAGGGUACAGUAAAAGGACAAGUUGCAUAACUCUGGUUGUCAUUUUUAUGGAAUUAUGGCCCUUUUUUGACUUAGUAACUUUGAAUAUAUGGUUAAAUUUUGUGUUUCGAUCCACUUUACUUCUUAACUAUCAAGGCUAUUGCUUUCAAACUUCAAAUACUUUCAUGCUAUCAUGAGGUGACUGUACCUGGCAAGUUGAAUUUUACCUUGAAUCCCCC